rnacentral:snoRNA from 1 species
UGGGCCCUUUCACAGGCCCUGCCCUCAGCAGUGGGACCAGGAUUGGGUUGCUGGUGCUGAGAGAAAGCUCUUGAUUGCAUCCUUGCUCUGGGACGGUACCAGUGGCAGCUGUCACUUAGUGGGACAGAG